rnacentral:rRNA from 1 species
GACGAACGCUGGCGGCGUGCUUAACACAUGCAAGUCGAACGGUAAGGCCCUUCGGGGUACACGAGUGGCGAACGGGUGAGUAACACGUGGGUGAUCUGCCCUGCACUUCGGGAUAAGCCUGGGAAACUGGGUCUAAUACCGGAUAGGACCACUGCCUGCACGGGUGGUGGUGGAAAGUUUUUGCGGUGUGGGAUGGGCCCGCGGCCUAUCGGCUUGUUGGGGGGGUGGUGGCCUACCAAGGCGACGACGGGUAGCGGGCCUGAGAGGGCGACCGGCCACACUGGGACUGAGAUAAGGCCCAGACUCCUACGGGAGGCAGCAGUGGGGAAUAUUGCACAAUGGGCGCAAGCCUGAUGCAGCGACGCCGCGUGAGGGAUGACGGCCUUCGGGUUGUAAACCUCUUUCAGCACCGACGAAGCGCAAGUGACGGUAGGUGCAGAAGAAGGACCGGCCAACUACGUGCCAGCCGCCGCCGUAACAC